AAAUUGAAGAGUUUGAUCAUGGCUCAGAUUGAACGCUGGCGGCAGGCCUAACACAUGCAAGUCGAACGGUAACAGGAAGCAGCUUGCUGCUUUGCUGACGAGUGGCGGACGGGUGAGUAAUGUCUGGGAAACUGCCUGAUGGAGGGGGAUAACUACUGGAAACGGUAGCUAAUACCGCAUAAUGUCGCAGGACCAAAGAGGGGGACCUUCGGGCCUCUUGCCAUCAGAUGUGCCCAG
rnacentral:rRNA from 1 species